rnacentral:rRNA from 1 species
UACAGAGGGUGCUAGCGUUGUUCAGAAUCAUUGGGCGUAAAGGGCGUGUAGGCGGUUUGUUAAGUCAUGUGUGAAAUCCCUCGGCUCAACCGGGGAACGACGCAUGAAACUGGCAAGCUAGAGUACCAAAGAGGGGGGUGGAAUUCCCGGUGUAGCGGUGAAAUGCGUAGAUAUCAAGAGGAACACCUGAGGCGAAGGCGGGUUGCUAGGCUGACACUGACGCUGAGUGCGCGAAGCCAGGGAGCGAACGG